rnacentral:miRNA from 1 species
ACCUUAGAGACCAACUAAGUUUGUUUUGGGUAUAAGCUUUUGUGUGCAUGCACACUUCUUCAGAUAACUUCUGAAGACACCAUUUAUCUGAAGAAGUGGGCAUGCACAUGAAAGCUUAUACCCAGAACAAACUUAGCUGGUCUCUAAGGU